AUUAAUUUGGGACUAAUACAUUAUAGAUGGCAAUUAUGAUUUAUAUCAUCAUGUCAAUUUCCAAUGGAAAAAUUUCCAAUCUCCAUUAAAAAAUAUUUCCAUAAAAUACAGACUUCAGUUACAAAGUCAAGGGCUCAGAGAAGCGAUGCUAUCUUUAUACUUUAACAAACUUGGUCAAUAUUUUUCCUUAUAGUUUUAUUCACAGAAUUUGUGAAUGAGGCUAGUAUGUGAUUUUCAUCUUCUGUUAGGUCCAUUCUCAUUGUUCACUUUAAAUAUAAUGUAUUUUUUAAAAGGCAAUAGCAUUGACAUUCAAGGCCCCUGCUCUCUGGAGAAAAGAGGCACUUCUAAGUUUAGAAGGGAGAGGCCCCAAGAAAGGAUAAAAGCCUGGCUCAGUCUAUGUGAAAUGAAAAUGUUCUGUCAAUAAUAAUCAAUUUUAAAAACGGCACCACAUACUGAGGAAAAAGAGCUGACCACACUUGAAAGACUGAAAAUGGAGAAAAUUAACCAGGGAGGAAACAGAAAAAUAUUUCUCCUUCGUAAUAGUCAAGAAGACACAGUUUAUAUCCUACUUCUCGCUUGAAAUACGAAUUCAAAAUGCAAGCAGCUCGUCAGUGAAAGCGAUACUCUCCUAUAUUGUCACAGUGGCUGCAAAUCAGAGCUCUGACUUUGGAAAAUACGAUGACCAAAUAUAUCAGGGCUUUAAAGUUUCACCCCCAUCGAUCAGGUUGUGCUAAUUCUGAGAAGAAAUUAGAAGUAAAACUAUAAAUACUGUGUCAAAGCCUGAAUCGUGACCCCCCCAAAGAUAUCACGUCCCAAUGGCAGGAACUCGUAAUCAUUGCCUUACGAGGUAAAGAUUUUGCAGCUGUAAGCAAGGGAUCAUGAGUUCGGGGUAUCAUCUGGGAAAGUCCAGCAGGUCCCAAGCCUGCUCGUAAGCGUCUUUCUGAGAGGGCGGCAGAGGGAGACACGCAAGCACGCACGUACGUACGUAAGUGCAUGCACACGCACGCACACCCGGAAGUGAUGCGGUGUCAAGGCAGGGAGAGAUUCAAAGGUGUUCGCCGUGAAAACCAGUGAUGCGACAAUUCCCCGGGAAUGCUGGCUGGCAGACAGCACAAGCUGGGAGAGGGAAGAGCGUGUUUCCUCAUCUGUAAAAUGGAAAGAAAUCAGGCCAGAAUCAACGUGAGGAUAAAAUAACAAAACAGGAAAACUUGAAGUAGAAAGUAAGAGACAUUAAUUUAGAACAGUCGCUUGAUAUAAAUGAAAUGUCAAGCUUCACAGGAUGAAAAGUUACUCCAAGCAUGAAUCUUGCAGUAUGUCUAUAGCGUUAUCUUCUCAUGCAAAGAACAGCAAAAUAUACAAAGAGACAUUUCUGACUUGGUGACUAAAAGUUCUCAAGGCAAAUAUGGUAACAGAAUCCUUUCCAUGGCUGAGACAAUGCUAUUGUUCAUUCGAUUAUCUUUCUAAGUACACCUACCAACUGCAAAACGGGCUCUAGCUGUUUUCUACGACAUUAUUCCACACUCACCUGAUCCAUGAUGAUUGGACCAGUCAUCAACACAAUAUGGAGUCACCUGUCCAGAAAUUAGGCCUGGGCAGAACAACUUCAGGUAACUGACUGCUAAGUACACUGAGGUACAAGGAAAACUAAGUUGGUAUUAAAGUUCUGAGCUUCAUCAGUCUCUAUAUUAGAUUACUUGACGUGUUAUCUUUCUACACAUCAGUGUUCUUGCAUACAAAAUGUGGCUGAACUAGAUGCUGCCAAAGGCCCAUUGCUUGGUUUCUUUGAGUCCAUUUCUGUUUAUGCUCCUUGAUUUUAGAUUACUUUUUUGACUAUGCAUUAAGCCUCCAAAUCUAGACUGGGAACUCUCUUUCUCUGCUUCCAUGAUAUCUUGUGUAUUGCUCUAUCUUAUCUAUUGCAGCAUAGUAUUCCAAUUAUCUGUUUACUUGUGAAAUGCCACACUUAACCUAUGAGUCCGCUAAGAUCAGGGAUUUUGGAGGCCAGCACAUAGAAGAAUAUUAUUUUUGAGUUAAUAAUUAAUCUCUUAAUAACUAUAUACACAAAAGGGUUGGGCUCCUAAACAUAAUUUACAGCAAAAUUCCAGAUAAUUCUGUUUUGACAAAGAAUUCUCUCUCUUCCCUGAAAUAUCUGCAAUGUGCUACAAGACUACGAGACCUUUACCAAAAGCAGAUGUUGUGAAGUCGGAUGAAGCCAUCAUUCAGACAUGUGGAAUGUUCAAAACUGUCAUUUUUUGGCAACCAUAAGUCUGCUCUGGUAUCUCGAUUCAGAGACAUGGACUAUUUUCUGCAGGAUUGUAUUAUAAAUAGUUCAUUUAAAUCUCAAAAUUACAAAGACUGUUUAAACUUGUAUUUGGGGUCUAACAUGAAUAAUCACUAGUUCUAUUUUUCUAUUUUUAGUUCUUAUCAGAUUGGCAAAUAGUGUAUAUUAGAUCAUAUUAAGUUUUAUUUAAUAUUAUGAAAACUAUUUUAUAAGUUACAUGUGAGUAUCAUAUAUUUUUGGAUGGUAAAGUGUGUUAAGUUUGGGGAUAUUAUUAUUAGUGUUUUCGAGUAAUAUCUGAAGCCAUACCUUAAAUUCCAACUGGCGCCGAGGUAGACUAAUUAAAAAGCAUAAAGUGGUUUUACUAGUCACCGUGUUUUGUUUAAACAGUUCUAUCCAUGACUACCAUUUAGUUCUGAUACUUUAUGAGACUGAGGCUUUAUGCUUAUAUUUGAGGAAAUACCAGAUUUGGGGAGAAUAUUCCCCAUUUUGCCUGUAUAUACACCAAAAUUACAAGAAAAGAGCAGACAAAUAGACUAAUCAUUCUAAAGAUGCAGAAAAUCCUUACAGAAAACAAUUUAAUUUCUAACUAUUGGCAUGGUAGGUAGUAAAUCCAUCCAAUUAGAGGCAGUGGGAGUGCCCAUCACUCUCUGAGAUACCCCACAACCAAGAAAAUGGAUGGAGGUGUGAAUGCUGACUGGCUUGGCAAAUGACAAAACCCAGAAGCACACCUUCAUGAAAAAAGAGUGAUGUCAGAAAAUUUUGUGAGGCCUUGGGGAGACUUGGAGGCAUGUUAGAUAAAAUAUUAGGGAAUUAAAAUAAGUUCUGGAGAGGGGCGCCUGGGUGACUCAGCUAGUUAAAUUGGACUCUUGGUUUCAGCUCAGGUCAUGAUCUCCUGGUUUCUUGAGUUCAAGCCCCUUGCUGGGUUCUGAGCUGCCAGCAGGGAGCCUGCUUGGGAUUCCCUCUCUCUCUCUCUCUCUCUGUUUCUCUGCCACUCCCCCACUCAUGUUGUCUCUGUCUUUCUCAAAAUAAAAAUUAAUAAACUUAAAAAAAUAAGUUCUUGAGACAUGAUUAAUCGCUAAGUUGCUUCUUUUCAUCUUUGCUGCAGGGUGUCACUUUCUUCUACCCUCCACCUUUUUUCCUUUUUUUUCUGCUUCUAAUACCAUAUGCAUUUUCAUUACAGAAAUCCUUGAAUUCAGAGUCAUAAGGUUAUCUUCUCAACUGUGUAAUUCUAAACACCCCAAAAUUGAUAUUAUCUUUUAAUAAGUGGUGUUUUUGAUGAGCAUGUGAGAAACUACUAUAUGUGAUGUAUUUCUCUUUCAGCUAAAACCCCUUUGCAUAUUUUAAAACAUAAAUCUUGUAAGGGAAACACUUUCCUGAAUCCAUUCCUGCCUUUCCAUAUCUAGUUCAACUGUAGUUGUUCAAUGGCAUUGAUUAGGAAAAUACAGGACGAUCUAAAGUCAUGAAUUUAGAAGGCAAGCACGCAAAAUAUUUUUGAGCCCUAACAUAAAGUGUUUCAGUUUAUUGCAUCCUGCCAGAGAAUUUUGACCAAAACCCUAGAAUCUGAUGUCUUUAUGAAAGGACUCAAAUUCUAAGCAGCACUAGUAAAACCCAAUGUUUCUUACUAUCAAAAGAGUGACUAUAUAUAGGGAAUUUUCCAAAUAUGUAUCUGCUCUUCUACAUUUGAACUCUUCAUUUGUGUUCACUAUUAUACAGAAGAUGAAUUCUAAACUCUUUGCAUGAUCCACAAAGUCCUCUAUGUUAUGACUUUAGACUGCUUUUUUAAUAUCUCCUUCUUCUUUCUUCCUAUAAACAGGUCCUCCUUGGUAAAGAGAGUUGUAACCAAUAUGCAUUUUCACUAAAUAUGAAAACGUAGAUGCUAACAUCCAUAUUCGGGCUUUCAGAAGAAGCCCAAUCCUACCAUAAUGGAUAGAAUUAAUUUCUAGUUUACCAAAAUAAACCUGAAAUUGUAUCAAAAUUAAUUAUAGCAGCUUUAUCCAAAAAUUAGUAGACAAUUUUUUUUAAUUUCACAUUAUCCUACAAGAACAAUUAUUUCUGAACACAGUGUCAGCUGCUGGAUUAUUCCUGUAGUUACUGGACUACACAUGUGCAAUGUUCAAAUGACAUUUGUUUUCCUUUGAGAUGGAGCAACACUAAAAUGUUUGUUUUGACUUCCCUACCUUGGUACUUAAGGUUGUGGCCUAGUCAUUAUUUUACCUUUCUCUCCAAGAUGACCUAUUGGGGUAUAGAUUUAUCACUCAUUCAUAUGCUAGACUGGAAAAUAUGAUUCAUGAUGUUCGGGACUUUUAUUGAUGUGAUCCCCAAAGUGAAGCUUCACAUACUAGGUGACAAAAAGCUUUUUAAUAUUUUUCAAGUAUGUACCUAAUAUGAUUGUCUCCAUUCAACAUCUUGUUUGUCUUGUUUUAAUUUAUAAUAUUUUUAUGAGUUCCACUGAUUCAUACAGAAGUUGUAAGAAAAAUUGUCCUGAUAUAUGGGCUCAGAAGUAGUUGGUUUUAAGGUAAUAAAACAAUGUUCAUGUG